UUUUCAGUCAGGUCACAAUGACUGGAAGGUUUAACUUCUUCAACAGAAUGGAAAUUAAUCAAACUGCUUUUCUAGUGGGCGUUUCUUCUUCUUCUUCUUGUUCUGGGGCAGCGUUCGUGCACACUUGUCGCAGAUAUUUCACCAUUUUAUGCCUCAGCCGCUGUGAAAAUGAUCCAGAAGUUGAGAUUCUUCGAAAGGACCUCGUAUCACGAAGAGGGGAGAAGAAAAAGCUCCAUCACAUGACGGAGGAUGUGCGUCGGUGGUUCACAAGCACUCAUUAAUCUGCAGCGCAGAAGGUGAUCUGGAGGAGAAGAUGCCCCAUUUCACAACAUAAUACAACAAGCUACACGAAGCAAUGAAGAGCUCAGCCUGUGUGGGGCUUUCCUCUGGGGAAGUGCUCCCUUGAUGGCCAACACAGCCAAACAACUACUUUGAUAAGAAACAUACAACAAUGAAGGGCCAUCCGGAGUUCUCGUCCGUGUUUGUAAGUAGUUCUACAAGAAUAACAUCCUCUCCUAACAGCACAGGCCCGGCACACUGCCUUCUUGCCCCAGCUCUGGCUCCCCCUAGCAGUCCCUCCAUAUUUCCUUGUUACUGCACACCAUAAUGCCCUGACCCUCCCUGAUCUAUUAUACAGUAAAAACACCUAAAUACAUCUUAAAACCUAAAUUUCUCUGUCUAAAUAAUAACUAUAGAGGCUCUACUUGCCUUCCAGCCAACAUUAGGCACCAUUGGCCACAUCAGAACAGAGGAU